CUGGNGGCAGGCCUAACACAUGCAAGUCGAGCGGAAACGAGUUAUCUGAACCUUCGGGGNACGAUAACGGCGUCGAGCGGCGGACGGGUGAGUAAUGCCUAGGAAAUUGCCCUGAUGUGGGGGAUAACCAUUGGAAACGAUGGCUAAUACCGCAUGAUGCCUACGGGCCAAAGAGGGGGACCUUCGGGCCUCUCGCGUCAGGAUAUGCCUAGGUGGGAUUAGCUAGUUGGUGAGGUAAGGGCUCACCAAGGCGACGAUCCCUAGCUGGUCUGAGAGGAUGAUCAGCCACACUGGAACUGAGACACGGUCCAGACUCCUACGGGAGGCAGCAGUGGGGAAUAUUGCACAAUGGGCGCAAGCCUGAUGCAGCCAUGCCGCGUGUGUGAAGAAGGCCUUCGGGUUGUAAAGCACUUUCAGUCGUGAGGAAGGUGGUNUUGUUAAUAGCNCUAUNAUUUGACGUUAGCGACAGAAGAAGCACCGGCUAACUCCGUGCCAGCAGCCGCGGUAAUACGGAGGGUGCGAGCGUUAAUCGGAAUUACUGGGCGUAAAGCGCAUGCAGGUGGUUUGUUAAGUCAGAUGUGAAAGCCCGGGGCUCAACCUCGGAAUAGCAUUUGAAACUGGCAGACUAAAAGUACUUGUAAAGGGGGGGUAGAAUUUUCAGGUGUAGCCGGUGAAAAUGCNUANANAUCUNAAAGGAAUACCCGGNGGCGAAAGGCGGCCCCCCUGGACAGAUACUUGACACUUCAAAUGCCCAAAAACCGUGGGGGA
rnacentral:rRNA from 1 species